rnacentral:rRNA from 1 species
GCUCAACUGAGGAAUUGCUUUGGAAACUGGAUGACUUGAGUGCAGUAGAGGAAAGUGGAACUCCAUGUGUAGCGGUGAAAUGCGUAGAUAUAUGGAAGAACACCAGUGGCGAAGGCGGCUUUCUGGACUGUAACUGACGUUGAGGCUCGAAAGUGUGGGUAGCAAACAGGAUUAGAUACCCUGGUAGUCCACACCGUAAACGAUGAGUGCUAGGUGUUUGAGGGUUUCCGCCCUUAAGUGCCGCAGCUAACGCAUUAAGCACUCCGCCUGGGGAGUACGACCGCAAGGUUGAAACUCAAAGGAAUUGACGGGGACCCGCACAAGCGGUGGAGCAUGUGGUUUAAUUCUUUUUCUACGCGAAGAACCUUACCAGGUCUUGACAUCCCUUGAUAACUCCAGAGAUGGAGCGUUCCCUUCGGGGACAAGGUGAUAGGUGGUGCAUGGUUGUCGUCAGCUCGUGUCGUGAGAUGUUGGGUUAAGUCCCGCAGCGAGCGCAACCCUUAUUACUAGUUGCCAGCAUUCAGUUGGGCACUCUAGUGAGACUGCCGGUGACAAACCGGAGGAAGGUGGGGAUGACGUCAAAUCAUCAUGCCCCUUAUGACCUGCGCUACACACGUGCUACAAUGGCGUAUACAACG